rnacentral:rRNA from 1 species
UACGUAGGGUGCAAGCGUUGUCCGGAAUUAUUGGGCGUAAAGAGCUCGUAGGCGGUUUGUCGCGUCUGCUGUGAAAAUCCAGGGCUUAACCCUGGACCUGCAGUGGGUACGGGCAGACUAGAGUGCGGUAGGGGAGAUCGGAAUCCUGGUGUAGCGGUGAAAUGCGGCAGAAUAUCAGGAGGGAACACCUGGUGGCGAAAGGGCGGAAUCUCCGU